GCCGGGCACAGUGGCACGUGCCUGUAGUCCCAGCUACUUGGGAGGCUAAGGUGGGAGGAUCGCUUGAGCCCAGGAGUUCUGGGCUGUAGUGUGCUAUGUUAAUCAGGUGUCCACACUAAGUUCGGCAUCAAUACGGUGACCUCCAGGAGCGGGGGACCACCAGGUUGCCUAAGGAGGGGUGAACCGGCCCAGGUCAGAAACAGAGCAGGUUAAAACUCCCAUGCUGAUCAGUAGUGGGAUCGCGCCUGUGAAAGCUACUGCACUCCAGCCUGGGCAAUAUGGCAAGACCCCAUCUCU
rnacentral:SRP_RNA from 1 species